CACUGGAUAACUCUUCUGCAUGUUUGAUUUGCUGUUUAAUUGUUAAGAGUGGACCACUGAUUCAUAUCAAUUUUGUUUUGGUUUUAUGUAUAAUUUCUUUGUUUAGAACCUUUCCUAUUUGUCAGAAUCUCAACUUACCAGAGAAGAAAAAAAAAUACGAGGGUUUUGAAGUGCUUAGUUCAUUGGCGUCAACCUACUAAUUGCUGCAGAUUGGGCUCGUUCAUAGGCGAUUCGAAAGGAUAAAGCUUCCAUCUAAUUUUGUUGAUUUUGGAUUUACUUUGCGGGUCUCCUUUUAAGGCAAGUUGAGACUUUCCUUAGAUUCUAUUUCAAAGUGCUUAUUUGAAUAGUUGUUAGUUGUGUAAUGGGAGUAAUGGAAAUUGGGGUCUCGUAUAGGUGAUUGUGACGAGCAUCUAUACGGGUACCGAUGUUGUUUGAGGGGAUAAAAUAAGCUAAUUGUAUGUUUAAACUAUUUUUCCCUAUUUGCUAGUCUGAUGGACUGAUUUGUUAUGGUAAAUAAAUUAUUAAAAAAGCUAGCUAAUGAUGAUAUUUUCACUUGAUAAGUUGAGUUGGACUUGAAAUUGUUGUCUGAUUCGGUUUAAGACAUAAAGUGCUUUGCUUGACUUUAUUGAUGAUUUGGGAUAGGUGUUGCACGUUUGCACAUCAUGCAUCGUAUUUCAUAUAGGAUCGGAGUGCACGCCUGCACAAUACAAUAUAUAUUUAUUGGGAUCGGAGUACAUGCCUGCACAAUAUAUUUAUUGGAAUCGAAGUGCAUGCCUGCACAAUAUAUAUUGGGAUCGGAGUGCAUGUCUGCACAGUAUAUUUAUUGAGAUCGUAGUGUACACCUGCAAAAUAUAUUGAUUGAGAUCAAUGUGCACACCUGCAUAGUACGUGGACCUUGUGAGUCCCCCAUGGGUCCUAAUCUUGAAGCCAUUGCUCGGUAGGUGUGUACACCGCAUAUGCAUUGCAUUACAUUGCAUCGAAUUGCAUUGAUUCAUUUGGUUCAGAUUGGUUAAAGUGUAUUUGUUGACCUUGUACUUAUUGUAUAUGUGUUAUUUAUUUCACUGGAUUGAGAAAUUCCUAGAUUGUAUUAUGAUAUCCUUAUGACUGUUAAACUUGACUAUUCAGUUAGAUUUAGGUGGUUUUGCUGAGUGCAGGUUGUAUGUUUGUUUUUAGAUGAUUUAUGUGGUGUCACUCGUCACCACUUUGAAUUAGGAGCGAUCGACGAUGCUUGCUGAGUACACGUGAUUCCGUACUCACUCUUGCUUUUUCUGCACUCUACGUGCAGGUACAGAUUUGACAACCUCCGGAUAUUGAUUCCUGUGGUUCCUUCUUUGCUAGCAUUAUUGGAGAUUCGAGGUAGCUGCUACUGGCUUUGGAGACUACUGAAAUCUCCUUUAGCCUUGUCUUUAUGCAUUUUCCGCAUUUUGAAAGACUCAAACUUUCUUAUGGCUUUGUAUUUAGGGGCUUGUAUUAGUGACUUCCAAACCUGGGAUUAUCUAUGAUUUGAUUUACUAGUCUAUUAAUCUACUUAUGAGAUUAUUCAUAA